CAUGUAGUUAGCCGGGGCUUCUUAGUCAGGUACCGUCAUUUUCUUCCCUGCUGAUAGAGCUUUACAUACCGAAAUACUUCUUCACUCACGCGGCGUCGCUGGAUCAGGGUUCCCCCCAUUGUCCAAUAUUCCCCACUGCUGCCUCCCGUAGGAGUUUGGGCCGUGUCUCAGUCCCAAUGUGGCCGUUCACCCUCUCAGGCCGGCUACCGAUCGUCGCCUUGGUGAGCCUCUACCUCACCAACCAGCUAAUCGGACGCGGAUCCAUCUUAUACCUAUAAAUAUUUUACCCCUGCACCAUGCGGUGCUGUGGUCUUAUGCGGUCUUAGCGGAAAUUUCUCUCCGUUAUCCCCCUGUAUAAGGCAGGUUAUCCACACGUUACUCACCCGUCCGCCACUAAGUCUGUUAAAAUUUCAUCCGAAGACUUCCUUUAACAGCUUCGUUCGACUUGCAUGUGUUAAGCACGCCGCCAGCGUUCAUCCUGAGCCAGGAUCAAACUCU
rnacentral:rRNA from 1 species